rnacentral:rRNA from 1 species
AUUGAACGCUGGCGGCAUGCCUUACACAUGCAAGUCGAACGGUAACAGGUCUUCGGAUGCUGACGAGUGGCGAACGGGUGAGUAAUACAUCGGAACGUGCCCGAUCGUGGGGGAUAACGCAGCGAAAGCUGUGCUAAUACCGCAUACGAUCUACGGAUGAAAGCGGGGGAUCGCAAGACCUCGCGCGGACGGAGCGGCCGAUGGCAGAUUAGGUAGUUGGUGGGAUAAAAGCUUACCAAGCCGACGAUCUGUAGCUGGUCUGAGAGGACGACCAGCCACACUGGGACUGAGACACGGCCCAGACUCCUACGGGAGGCAGCAGUGGGGAAUUUUGGACAAUGGGCGCAAGCCUGAUCCAGCCAUGCCGCGUGCAGGAUGAAGGCCUUCGGGUUGUAAACUGCUUUUGUACGGAAACGAAAAAGCUCUCUCUAAUACAGGGGGUGAAUGACGGUACCGUAAGAAUAAGCACCGGCUAACUACGUG